ACAAGGAGGGGAUUCUCGGUCGGCUCACAGCCCACGCAUGCGCAGACGCCCAUGCCUCGCGAGUCGCUGUGCGUCUGCGCACACGACAGCGACGGCAGAGGACAGACCCCCGGGCCUGAACCAUCCCUCAGGGGGCCAGCCCCAUCUACAGGGAGCAGAGGGAGAGGCCCUCCCUCUGGCAAAGUGGGCUCGAGGGGUCCCCAGAGGCAGGAGCCAGUCACAGGAGCCUUCUUGGAGCCUCCCCAAGAACAGAAGUGGCCUCAUACCAUCAGGGUCCAAAGUGCGUAGAAGCAGGGUAGGUCACAGGACGGGGUCUGCAGGAGAGCAGGGGACCUCCCAAGACCAAGUCACUCAGUCCCGUGGUUCCGGUCACAGGUGGCUGCCCAGCCUGGACACGCAGGUAGCUUCCAGAGCAAAUGCAUGGCCCGACAGCCUGGGUGGGAUGGGCUGGACCAGGAGGUGGAGGACAAGCCUUCCAGCUGGGACGCAGCACUGGAAGUGGCCUGGCAUUCACUCCAUCCAUGGCACGUUUGGACUGAAUGCCUGCUGCCUGCUGGGCACUGGGUCUGGUGCUGGAGACACAGAGAGAGUGGGCUGGGCGGGGGACCUACCAUCGCGGGGCAGAGCUAGAGUGGGGAUGGUCAGUGAGACGGAGAGAUGGCCAAAGGUGGGGAACCGACAGGCAGGUACACAGACCAACCACAGGGCAAAGAGCAGUGAGGAGAUGGGUCAGGGGCGGCCUCAAGGAAGAGGUGACAUCUGAGCUGAGGUCAGGAUGAUAAGGAGGGGACAGCCUUGUAAAGGGGAGUGGUGUGGGGUGAGGUGGAGAGCUGGACAUCCAAAGCACAAGACCGAGGGGCAGUGUCAGAGCCCAGGUCAAGGCCGCAAUCUUCGAUUUGCCCUUGGCCCUCCUGAUGGGUCAUCCUCUGCGUGUCUGCCUCCCCACAGGCCCCCCAUGUGGUCCUACCCACUGCAGAAGGGUCAGGAAAUGAGAAGCCCUGUAGGAGGUGGGUGGUCCGCAUGGAGCCUGGGCUCUGUCGCUUGCCGUCUGUGCAGUGUGGGCCCCUGACUUCAGCCCCUGGAGCCUCGGUUUAUGUCUCUGUCCAAUGGGAAGCCCAUACCAACCUUGUCAAAGACUGAGGAAGAGUCAAAGAAGGCAGCUGCCUGGGGAGGAAGCAUCUCUGGGGAAAGGGUAGAUGGGAGGACGUGAGCUUGCAGCUCGGCGGCAGGAACGCUGGAACCCUUGCCCCCCACAACCCCACGCAACCCCCCCCAGUCUUCGCGUCACCACAGAUGUUUGACCACGGUCCACACCCCGUGGAGGAGAUGGAAACCAGAGUGCUUUGGUCCCUGCCGUCGGUGGGACCUGCUCUCUGUGGCCCCGGCUCUCUGUGUCUGCUUCUCGCCUGAGGCCUCUUAGGAAGGGAAGACGGGCAUCUCUCUGUGACUGUGGACUCUAAGAAGCUGCCUGCUCCUCUGUUGGACCCACAGCUGUGUUUCCCAUUAAACAAACAGAUCCAGUUUCAGGUCCAAUCAUGUCAAGAAGCUGGUCCCCUUAAGAUGGGUCCCCAACAGCUACAUCUGCUCACAGAGUCAUUCCCUCCCUCCUGUCCUUCUGGGAUGGACUGGGAGCCUGGCAGCUGAUGGAGAGGGAGCUAUUGGGGAUGGACCCCAGGGGCAUCCCCCAUAAUCCCAGACCAGAACCAUGGACCUGGGCCAGGGAACUGGGCCCAGGGUGGGAAGGAUAAAAAUGUGUCUGCAUUACAGAGACCCCCAUUUCAGGAAAACCUUCUGCCAUUCUAUGAACUGUCACCCUACUUUUGUCUUCCCAGGUGAAAUUUGAUCUGUCUUUAUUUCUUUCUUUUGCUUUUUCUGAAAGGGCCACACCCGCAGCAUAUGGAAGUUUCCCGCCCAAGGGUGGAAUUGGAGCUGCAGCUUCCGGGUUACACCACAGCCACAGCAAUACGUGAUCUGAUCCAGGUCUGCCUACACCACAGCUCCUGGCAACAUUGGAUUCUUUAACCCACUGAGCGGAUCAGAGAUCGAACCCGCAUCCUCAUGGAUACUAGUCCGUCUCAGAACCUGCUGAGCCCCAAACAGAACUCCUAGGUCU
rnacentral:lncRNA from 9 species